UACGUAGGGGGCGUAGCGUUGUCCGGAAUCAUUGGGCGUAAAGCGCACGUAGGCGGCUUAGCAAGUUGGAUGUGAAAUCCCUCGGCUCAACCAAGGAAGUGCAUCCAAAAACUGCUGAGCUUGAGUACUUAAGAGGAUCGCGGAAUUCCCGGUGUAGAGGUGAAAUUCGUAGAUAUCGGGAGGAACACCAGUGGCGAAGGCGGCGAUCUGGGAAGAUACUGACGCUGAGGUGCGAAAGCGUGGGGAGCAAACAGG
rnacentral:rRNA from 1 species